rnacentral:rRNA from 1 species
GAAGUUCAUUGAAACUGGGGACUUGAGUGCAGAAGAGGAAAGCGGAUUCCAAGUGUAGCGGUGAAAUGCGUAGAGAUUGGAGGAACCCCAGUGGCGAAGGCGGCUUUCUGGUCUGUAACUGACGCUGAGGCGCGAAAGCGUGGGAGCAAACAGGAUUAGAUACCCUGGUAGUCCACGCCGUAAACGAUGAGUGCUAAGUGUUAGGGGGUUUCCGCCCCUUAGUGCUGCAGCUAACGCAUUAAGCACUCCGCCUGGGGAGUACGGUCGCAAGACUGAAACUCAAAGGAAUUGACGGGGGCCCGCACAAGCGGUGGAGCAUGUGGUUUAAUUCGAAGCAACGCGAAGAACCUUACCAGGUCUUGACAUCCCGCUGACCGUUCUAGAGAUAGAUCUUUCCCUUCGGGGACAGCGGUGACAGGUGGUGCAUGGUUGUCGUCAGCUCGUGUCGUGAGAUGUUGGGUUAAGUCCCGCAACGAGCGCAACCCUUGAUCUUAGUUGCCAGCAUUCAGUUGGGCACUCUAAGGUGACUGCCGGUGAUAAACCGGAGGAAGGUGGGGAUGACGUCAAAUCAUCAUGCCCCUUAUGACCUGGGCUACACACGUGCUACAAUGGACGGUACAGAGGGUCGCAACCCCGCGAGGGUGAGCAAAUCCCAUAAAACCGUUCUCAGUUCGGAUUGUAGGCUGCAACUCGCCUACAUGAAGCCGGAAUCGCUAGUAAUCGUGGAUCAGCAUGCCACGGUGAAUACGUUCCCGGGCCUUGUACACACCGCCCGUCACACCACGAGAGUUUGUAACACCCGAAGUCGGUGGGGUAACCCUUACGGGAGCCAGCCGCCGAAGGUGGGACAGAUGAUUGGGGUGAAGUCCUAACAAGGUAACCGUA